rnacentral:rRNA from 1 species
UACGUAGGGGGCAAGCGUUGUCCGGAAUUAUUGGGCGUAAAGAGCUUGUAGGCGGUUUGUCGCGUCUGCUGUGAAAAUCCGGGGCUCAACCCCGGACUUGCAGUGGGUACGGGCAGACUAGAGUGUGGUAGGGGAGACUGGAAUUCCUGGUGUAGCGGUGAAAUGCGCAGAUAUCAGGAGGAACACCGAUGGCGAAGGCAGGGUCUCUGGGCCACUACUG